rnacentral:rRNA from 1 species
GACGAACGCUGGCGGCGUGCUUAACACAUGCAAGUCGAGCGGUAAGGCCCUUUCGGGGGUACGACGAGCGGCGAACGGGUGAGUAACACGUGGGUGACCUGCCCUCCAGCUCUGGGAGUAAGCCUGGGAAACCGGGGUACUAAUACUGGAUAUGACUCCAUGACGCAUGUUGUGGGGUGGAAAGCCUUGUGCGGCUGAGGGUGGGCCCGCGGCCUAUCAGCUUGUUGGUGGGGUGAUGGCCUACCAAGGCGACGACGGGUAGCUGGUCUGAGAGGAUGGCCAGCCACAUUGGGA